AUGGAGAGUUUGAUCCUGGCUCAGGAUGAACGCUAGCGGCAGGCCUAAUACAUGCAAGUCGAACGGUAACAGUUCUUUCGAGAAGCUGACGAGUGGCGCACGGGUGCGUAACGCGUAUGCAACCUACCCUAUACAGGGGGAUAGCCCAGAGAAAUUUGGAUUAAUACCCCAUAGUACUAUUUGAUGGCAUCUGAGAAUAGUUAAAGAUUUAUUGGUAUAGGAUGGGCAUGCGUUAGAUUAGUUAGUUGGUGAGGUAACGGCUCACCAAGGCGACGAUCUAUAGGGGUUCUGAGAGGAUGAUCCCCCACACUGGCACUGAGAUACGGGCCAGACUCCUACGGGAGGCAGCAGUAGGGAAUAUUGGUCAAUGGGCGAGAGCCUGAACCAGCCAUGCCGCGUGCAGGAAGACGGCCUUCUGGGUUGUAAACUGCUUUUAUAUGGGAAGAAAAAGGUCUUGCGAGACAAAUUGCCGGUACCAUAUGAAUAAGCACCGGCUAACUCCGUGCCAGCAGCCGCGGUAAUACGGGGGAUGCAAGCGUUAUCCGGAAUCAUUGGGCGUAAAGCGCCUGUAGGUUGUUUAAUAAGUCUGUUGUUAAAGACUAGGGCUUAACCCUAGGAAAGCAAUGGAAACUACUAGACUUGAGUAUGAUAGGGGUAGAGGGAAUUUCUAGUGUAGCGGUGAAAUGCGUAGAUAUUAGAAAGAACACCGGUGGCGAAGGCGCUCUACUGGAUCAUUACUGACACUCAGAGGCGAAAGCUAGGGUAGCAAAAGGGAUUAGAUACCCCUGUAGUCCUAGCCGUAAACGAUGGAUACUACAUGUUGCGUUUUUAAUGCAGUAUGGUAGCUAACGCGUUAAGUAUCCCGCCUGGGGAGUACGCUCGCAAGGGUGAAACUCAAAGGAAUUGACGGGGGCCCGCACAAGCGGUGGAGCAUGUGGUUUAAUUCGAUACAACGCGAAGAACCUUACCAAGGCUUGACAUACUACAAAUUUCUUUGAAAGAGGAAAGUGCCUUCGGGAAUGUAGAUACAGGUGGUGCAUGGCUGUCGUCAGCUCGUGUCGUGAGAUGUUGGGUUAAGUCCCGCAACGAGCGCAACCCUUGUUUUUAGUUGCUAAUUUAUUUAGGUUUUCUAGAAAGACUGCCGGUGACAAACCGGAGGAAGGUGAGGAUGACGUCAAGUCAGCAUGCCCCUUAUGCCUUGGGCUACACACGUGCUACAAUGGUUAAGACAAAGAGUUGCGAGCUCGCGAGAGUCAGCUAAUCUCAUAAACUUAUCCUAAGUUCGGAUUGUAGGCUGCAACUCGCCUGCAUGAAGUCGGAAUCGCUAGUAAUCGCUGGUCAGCCAUACAGCGGUGAAUCCGUUCCCGGGCCUUGUACACACCGCCCGUCACACCAUGGGAGCUGGUCAUGCCCGAAACCGUUUGCUUAACCUUUAUGGAGGGCGGCGUCUAAGGUAGGGUUAGUGACUGGGGUGAAGUCGUAACAAGGUAGCCGUACUGGAAGGUGCGGCUGGAUCACCUCCU
rnacentral:rRNA from 1 species